UACAUGCAGCAAGGAAAAAAAAGGAACAAAUAAAAAAGGAGAAAGAAAAAAACUAAAAAAAAGUUUGAAUUGCAUUCUAGUAUUCUAGCUUAUUUAUUUCUUGCAUUCUACUAUUCUAGCUUAUUUAUUUCU
rnacentral:ribozyme from 15 species